CGUCUAUAUACGUAUAGCAUAUCAAUAAGCGGAGGAAAAGAAACUAACAAGGAUUCCCUUAGUAACGGCGAGUGAAGCGGGAAGAGCUCAAAUUUGAAAUCUUCAAGGUUCUACCUUGACGAAUUGUAGUUUAAAGAAGUGUUUUCUGUUAGAGGAGUGGCAAAAGUUCUUUGGAAUAGGACAUCAUAGAGGGUGAGAAUCCCGUAUUUGGUCAUUCUUUCUAGCUGUGUGAUACACUUUCAAAGAGUCGGAUUGUUUGGGAAUGCAGUCCAAAAUGGGUGGUAAAUUUCAUCUAAAGCUAAAUAUUGGCGAGAGACCGAUAGCGAACAAGUACCGUGAGGGAAAGAUGAAAGAACUUUGAAAAGAGAGUUAAACAGUACGUGAAAUUGUCAAAAGGGAAGCGUUUGACACCAGUGUUGUUUUUACCGAAAAUCAAUUAAGAACGGCUUGAUUUUGUGUUGUAUUGACCUUAUCAGCUUUCUUCACUCUUUUUCGAGUCUUUCUUAAUGCACUUUUCGGUUAACAAGUCAACAUCAAUUUCUUUUGUUGUAAAAGGGUAUUUGGAAGGUGGCUUUCUUUUCGGAGAAAGUGUUUAUAGCCUUAUACCUCUACAAUCGGAGAGAUUGAGGUCUGCAGCGUAGAUCCUUCGGGGCUAGAUACACUUGUGCUAAGUUAUAGCUUUUCAUAGACAACUUGUUGACUAUGUUUAGUCAUGUAGCUUACCCGCUUGUGCUAUUUUACCUACGCUUAGGAUGUUGAGUCAUCACACAUCUCU
rnacentral:rRNA from 1 species